AGGCAGAGCCCAGGCUUGCUGGCACUGGGUGGAGGGAGGGCAGCAGCAUCAAGGCUAUAAUGGAGACAAAGGAACAAGCUAAAUGGUGACAAAAGGGAGCAGCCACACGGAUCCAGACAGUGAGGACCCACUCCCUUCAACCAGUCACAGUAAAGGGCAUUGUGCUGGCUGGAAAGCGACCGAGGGAUGUGUGCCCAGAGACACUGCCAGGUCCUGGACCAGAUUCUGCUCUGGACGAACCAGCUUCCCUCACUGAACAUCAACCAGAAGCCAGGAGCAGCCCAAGUAUCCAACCCAAGUCACCAGAGCAUGGAUAAACCAGCUGGGGAACAAUCCGCACAACGGAAUAACCCUUAGCGAUACAGAACAAAUGACUGAUACAUGUUACAACUUGGAUGAACCUCAGAAACAUUA